rnacentral:lncRNA from 1 species
CUUAUAAAACUUCAUUAAUUACACGUAUAAAAAAUAUCAUUAUUUUGUUAAAUAAAAGAAAAAAUAUAUUUAUAACAACAAUUUUAAUAAUUUUUUAGUUUAUAAAAUUAUUUUUAAUUUAAUUAAAUAAUAACUAAUUAUUUUAAUUUAUAAAAUUAAUUUUUAUUUAAUUAUUUUAUUACUGUGUUAUUUACUCACUAUUAAAAAUAUUGUUUUAAUAACUACACAGUAGAAAAGUUAAACUAUAAUUAUAAGGUGAUACAAUAGAAUUUUAAAAUGGAUCAAUCUCUUCAAAUAGAUUUACAUCUCAGAAAUAUCACUCUUUUAGCUGCAUUAUUGUAUUAAUAGGUAUUUUACUCCAAAUUGUUAUCACUUGGCUUUUAAUUUAGCGCAUAAAUAAUCAGUGGGAUGUCAUAAAAUGCCAAGAUUAAAAUAAUAUUUUUAUUUUAAAAAGAAUGAAAAUAAGUGAAUUAUGUUUCACAGAAAUAUAAUAUUUUAUUUGAAAAGAACAAAACAAAAUUAAAAUUAAAAUUAAAACACACUUAUUUUAUAUGUGAUGAUAACAUAUUUAACCUUAUUAUCAAAACAACUUUUCGUUUCGUGUACGAAUAUAGCAACCAUCAUUGAGUAUAUGGAAUCACAUACAGCACAAGUUUUAUUUGUGUUACUUCAGCUAGUUUUUUUUUUUUUUAUUGGUGUUUCGUCUAUUUGAUUUGUCUGUAUUUGCUUUAGUGGAAUGUUGGAUGAAGUUUCUGUCAGAUUUUGUUUUGUCAUGUUAUGUCAGUAGCUGCUUUGUUUUUUAGAUGUUUGAAAGAUGUUAUGCGGUUAGACUCGUACCCUUUUGUAUAAUGAUUGAAUCACUAUUGGAGUGGUUCUUGGGUAUAUAUAUUAUUGAUUGCUGAUAAAAAAAAGUCACGAAAAUUUUAAUUUGAUUUAAAAAAUAUUUUAAUGAUGUUUAAAUAUAACUUUUUUCUAUAUAUAUUAUGGAAUUUUAUAUUUAGUUCACACAAUUUAAAAAAAAAUAUAUAUAGUUAAAUAUAAUUAUUAUUUUUAUAUAUAAGACAUAUAAUUUUUUUGUGUUAUUACUCUAUUCAAAUCUUAUUUUUCAAUAUUUCUUACAUUAAAUUAAAUAAACAGAAAAGACAAUUUAAAAUAUAUCUUUUUCAAUGAUGGUAAUAUUUCAUAAUAAGUUAAAUUAUAUAUAUAUAUAUAAUUUUUUUUAAAAAAACGAAAAUGACUAUGUGAAUGUUUUCGUCCGUGUAUAUAUAUAUAUAAUUAUUGUAUAUUAGUAAUUAUUAUGGUAGGAAUGGAGAAAGUUGAUGUGAUGACAAAAGAGUAUACGACAAGGAUUUUAAGUAUUUUUGUUUUAGGUUACCUCUAACCCCACCCUUUAACCUUAUCUAGAAGUAAGACGAAUGACACAUUUUUCACGUGCUUUACUUUAAGCUAGAAAUAAGUGUAUUAAUGGUAGUUUCCAAUAACAAUAGCAAAGAAGUUCCCACUCCAUGAUAGUAUAAAUAGGUGUCUCUCAUAGGAAUCUAACCAUCCUCAAAUCAAAUCAUAUCCCUUUGUAAAGUUUGUUAAGAAAAUGUCAAUCCCUCCACCAAAUGAUCCAUCUAGAGGCUGCUCCUCAGAGUUCUCACAGCCUCUACAGCUACAAGAUUUGGUUGACGCUCAAGAAUUAUUGGAAAAUGUGAACCGUGUGAACGUUGUUGAAGGAAACUUGACAAGAAUUGAGUACAGGAUAGGUGAUCAAGAAUUAGAUAUUCGCCGCCCUGUGUAUCGUUGGGACAGAAGGCCCUACCAUGACAUCUUUGUAAAUGGCUUUCAAGCAUGGCCUCAGGAACAAACUCCCAACUCCACUUACUAUAAUUUACAUCACUUCAUUAAUCAUGCAGGUGCCCCUCUUGAUCCAGAUCGGCCUUUAAAUACAAGACAUGUCUUUGUGAGUACCACUCUCAGUAAUAGUUGGCAACCAAGACCUUCAACUGCAGUCCUCCCACCCGGCUCUCAUAUUCAAUUUUAUCGUUAUGAAAUUUAUGCUCCUGGUGGUAUUUGGGUUGCUGUCACUCUUGGGCAUCAAUACGACCAAUAUGCUUCUCAAGCUGAAGUUUGCUUUGUUGGAGGUAUUGCACCUCAGUACAUUCGAUCUUGUCUCAUAUUCACAGUAACGCGUGAAGCCGGAUCAAGGUUGGAUUACAUCUCAUGCUAUAUUAUUUUUAUAAUCACCUUAUAUCAUCGAUCACUAGCUAUAAGUUAUUAUAUUGUGCAGGUAUCCGAGAUUUCAGAGAGAAAGAAGAUUGGUGAUAAACAGGAAUUUUAAUCCAGUGUCAUCUCCUUACGCUGAAGUUGUAGUUUAUAUGCCGGUGUACUACUACAGAGAUGAAAACGGUGUAAACAGAUACCUACCUGAAGAAACUUAUCCGCCUAGGAGAGAGAAAAGAGAAGCUUUGGAUGCUAACGAGGAUGCUGCUCUUAAGUGGUAUACUAGUUCAGUUUUAGAGAUACCAAGUUAUAUAAAUUCUGCAUUGCGUUCAUCCAGAACAAAUGAAGUUUAUUUCUUCUUAAAAAAUAAGUAUGUGCGGCUGUAUUACACUCCUGGACUGACAAAUGAUAAGAUUUUGGCUGAUUUGCGUUGGAUUGGUGAUGGCUUUCCAUCACUUAUUGAUACGCCAUUUGGAGAAUAUGGAAUAGACUGUGCCUUCGACACUGAAGGCAACGAAGCAUAUAUCUUCUCUACCAAACUUUGUGCCUACAUGGACUAUGCUCCAGGUACACUGAAUGACAAGAUACUCUCAGGUCCUACCACAAUUGCUGAAAUGUUUCCCGUCCUAAAAAACACAGUGUUUGAGAAUGGCAUAGACUCUGCAUUCAGGUCAACCAAAGGAAAAGAUGUUUACUUAUUCAAGGGCAAUAAGUAUGGUAUCAUAGAGUAUGAUUCCAAGCAGCUUGUUGGCACCAUUAGUAACAUCACUGAUGGGUUUCCUGUUCUGAAAGGUACCAUCUUUGAAAAUGGAAUUGAUACGUGUUUCGCUUCUCAUAAAGAGAAUCAAGCUUAUCUUUUCAAGGGAGAAAACUAUAUACGGAUCAAUUUCACCCCAGGUACUACAGAUGACACUCUUGUGGAUGUUGUGAAGCCCAUCCUUAAUGGUUGGCCAAUUCUUAGAGACAUUCUGCCUCUCGACAAUAAAGGAGUUGAUGCCAAUUCUCAGACUGAUCAUCAACAACAAUAUCCUCAACAACAUGAUGACCAUGAUGAGCUUUAAAGAAAAAAGAACAAGAUGUCAUAAUAUGAUAAGAAUAAGGCUUUCAUUGCCAAAGUUUGUUUCCUUUUCUUUCCUAAUGUAAUGUAAUAAGUGUGAUGCUAGUGUUUACUUGUAUUUGGAUAUUUGCUUUCCUUUCUUCAUGUAAUAUUAAUGGUUUAAUAAUAAAAGUGUGCUUUUUGGUUGAAUAAAUGAUUCUAAUUUUUUUUCCUUUAAAAAAUUUACGGAGAUGUUUAUAGGUUGAUUUGAUUCCAGUGUAUUUUUUAAAGGCUAUGAUACGUAAAUCCAAGUAAAAAUGAUAUAAAGAAGAAAAGAAAAAUAAAUCCAAGAAAAUCAUUGAAGACUAUGUGAAUUCCACGAAGGACUAAUAAUAAAAAAAAUGUGGAUAUACGUGUUUCACUAAUACAAAAUAAAGACGACAACUUUAACCAUUGUCUAAAUUAAGAAAAAAAAAUAACGACAAUCUAACGGAUUGAAAAUCAUCACACUGAAAUUCUAAAAUUAGUUAUCUAAAAAUCUUUGUCUCAAUGCAAUCAUACAUUUUUUUUUUCAUGGCAAAGAAAAUAAAUAUUAAAUUAAUUACUAUGAUAUUAUGUAGAACUAUUAUCGAAUAAAACGCAUGCAAAAUUGGGUUAUUUCACUUUUUUUUAUACAAACAUUCUACUUCACAUAUUUUUUCAAUCGUUUGGUGUUCUUGUUCAUACAAACCAUAUCCCAGAGACCACACGUCAAAACAAUUAAACCAUAUCCCAAAGACCACACAAAAACAUAUGAAUUUCUAUUAACAUUAAUUUUGAUAACUAUGAUGUUGAUACAAACCGUAUCAAGGUGACAACUGUACCAAAACUAAUUGCAGGUCCCAAACAAACACAACACGUGAAAAAAUACCAGCAACGGUGUGGAUUCUUUAACACAUAUAUAAAAACUGUAAUAAAUUUCUUAAGAAUACAUCGUUACGAUAAAAUUAUGUUUUCAACUUUUUAUUUAAUUUUUUUAAAAUCAAUUUUAUACUUUCUAUUUCAAUUUUUUUAUUAAUAUAAAGUAUACACACACAAAAAUAAUAAAUAUCAUUAUAAAAUAAAUUAAAAAAAUAAAUCACUUUCGUGUUUAUCAAAAACAACUUCUCACUUCUCUCUCACCUUAUAAGUUACAAUAUUAACGUAUCUCAAGUCUGACUCUCUUCUCUUAUUUUCUUUUCUAAAGGAGACACAACAUUCCAUUUUCACUUUUUUUUCUCUUUCUCUUUACUUCUCUCUUUUUUUUAUGGUACUCUCAUUCUCAAUUUUUUUCAAUUUUUUCUGAUUUUGUUCCAAUUGUUCCAUCUUCUUUACAUGUGUUUCUGUAUAUAGUUUUGUAUUGGUUUACAAGCACGUGAAGUUUGGUCCCUUGGUUGAAUUAAAACGAGUGACUCUUUGUCCAACAUGUUCUCUUCUCCAAUUUCUCUUUGUCCAAGUAUUUUUGUUUUAGGUUACCUCUAACCCCACCCUUUAACCUUAUCUAGAAGUAAGACGAAGGACACAUUUUUCACUUGCUUUACUUUAAGCUAGAAAUAAGUGUAUUAAUGGUAGUUUCCAAUAACAAUAGCAAAGAAGUUCCACUCCAUGAUAGUAUAAAUAGGUGUCUCUCAUAGGAAUCUAACCAUCCUCAAAUCAAAUCAUAUCCCUUUGUAAAGUUUGUUAAGAAAAUGUCAAUCUCUCCACCAAAUGAUCCAUCCAGAGGUUGCUCAUCAGAAUUCUCACAGCCUCUACAGCUACAAGAUUUGGUUGACGCUCAAGAAUUAUUGGAAAAUGUGAACCGUGUGAACGUUGUUGAAGGAAACUUGAGAGGAAUUGAGUACAGGAUAGGUGAUCAAGAAUUAGAUAUUCGUCGCCCUGUGUUUCGUUGGGACACAAGGCCCUAUCAGGACCUCUUUGUAAAUGGCUUCCAAGCAUGGCCUGAGGGACAAACUCCCAACUCCACUUACUAUAAUUUGCUUCACUUCAUUGAACAUGCAGGUGCCCCUCUUGAUCCAAACCCGUCUUCAACUACAAGACAUGUCUUUGUGAGUACCACUCUCAACAAUGCUUGGCAACCAAGACCUUCAACUGCAGUCCUCCCACCCGGCUCUCGUAUUCAAUUUUAUCGUUAUGAAAUUUAUGCUCCUGGUGGUAUUUGGGUUGCUGUCACCCUUGGAGAUCGAUACCAAUAUGUUUCUCAAGCUGAAGUUUGCUUUGUUGGAGGUAUUGCACCUCAGUACAUUCGAGCUUGUCUCAUAUUCACAGCAACACGUGAAGUCGGAUCAAGGUUGGAUUACAUCUCAUGUUAUAUUAUUUUUAUAAUCAUCUUAUAUCAUCCAUCACUAACUACAAGCUAUUAUAUUGUGCAGAUUUCCGAGAUUACAGAGAGAAAUAAGAUUGGUGAUAAACAGGAAUUUUAAUCCAAUGUCAUCUCCUUACGCUGAAGUUGUAGUUUAUAUUCCGGUGUACUGGUACACAGAUGAAAACGGUAAAAACAGAUACCUACCCGAAGAAAUUUAUCCGCCUAUGAGAAAGAAAAGAGAGACCUUGGAUGCUGAUGAGGAUGCUGCUCUUAAGUGGUAUACUAGUUCAGUUUUAGAGAUACCAAGUUAUAUAAAUUCUGCAUUGCGUUCAUCAAGAACAAAUGAAGUUUAUUUCUUCUUAAAAAAUAAGUAUGUGCGGGUGUAUUACACUCCUGGAGAGACAGGUGAUAAGAUUUUGACUGAUUUGCGUUGGAUUUAUGAUGGCUUUCCAUCACUUGUUGAUACGCCAUUUGGAGAAUAUGGAAUAGACUGUGCUUUCGACACUGAAGGCAACGAAGCAUACAUCUUCUGUACCAAACUUUGUGCCUACAUGGACUAUGCUCCAGGUACAACAAAUGACAAGAUUCUCUCAGGUCCUACCACAAUAACUGAAAUGUUUCCCGUCCUAAAAAACACAGUGUUUGAGAAUGGCAUAGACUCUGCAUUCAGGUCAACCCAAGGAAAAGAAGUUUACUUAUUCAAGGGCAAUAAGUAUGGUCGCAUAAAGUAUGAUUCCAAGCAGCUUGUUGGCACCAUUCGUAACAUCACUGAUGGAUUUCCUGUUUUGAAAGGUACCAUCUUUGAAAAUGGAAUUGAUGCGUGUUUCGCUUCUCACAAGGAGAAUCAAGCUUAUCUUUUCAAGGGAGAAAACUAUGUACGAAUCAUCUUCACCCCAGGUACUGCAGAUGACACUCUUGUGGGUAAUGUGAGGCCUAUCUUUGAUGGUUGGCCGCUUCUUAAAGGCAUUCUACCUCUCGACAAUAGAGGAGUUGAUGCUCAUCCUCAGUCUGGUCAGGAAAAACCAUAUCCCGAUCAGCAUGAUGAGCUUUGAAAAAAAAAAGAACAAGAUGCCAUAAUAUGAUAAGAAUAAGGCUUUCAUUGCCAAAGUUUGCUUCCUUUUCUUUCCUAAUGUAAUAAGUAUGGAUGCUUGUGUUUACUUUCUUGUAUGUGGAUAUAUGCUUUCCUUUCUUCUUGUAAUGCUAAUGGUUUAAUAAUAAAAGUGUGCUUUUUGGUUGAAUAAA